CGAAACCAUCACGACUGUUGCUCAGUUCGCUACGGUGAAUGCGUUUAUUUUUCUCUUGUCGAUUCCAUCAAGCUAGACGGUACGUCGGCAUAGAAUUAAAACGGUGGUGGUUCGACGUUACUCUAGCUAGAUCAAAAUUCAACGACCAAAAGAAAAAUUCUUUUUUCGUCAUUUCGAUUCGUAUCUUACGCGAUUCGUAUAACUGCGUUUAUAGAGAAUUGUCUAUGCAAACAAUUUUGGAAGGAAAGGAGAUUCUUAAUAUAUUUCGGUAUAUCAAGAGUCGCAUAUGCUUCAGAAGAUGGAUGUUAAUUUGGGAAGACUUUGGUAUCUUGUUAUCUCUAAUGAUGGAAUAUCCCAUUCCUAAAUUGAAUUUCCAAUCAAUGAAAGAAAAAUCAAGAAUAACGAGUUGAAAAAACGAUCGCAUAAAUCUAUAAGUGCAAACUGAUAUUCGAUAAUAAAUGUCGUAAAAUGUUCGUCUAUCGAAAUUAAUUUUAAAUGGCUAAUACGAUUUGCAAAUAGGAGUUCAUCGGAAUAAAAAAAUUUUUUUGCAAAAAUUAUAAAAAAUAUAUAAAAAUAAAAUAACAUAUAAGAUAUAAGAUGUAUAAAGAUAUACAAA